GUCCUUUAUGGGACAUACAAAAAAUUUAAAAUGAUACAAAGAAUAUUAGGAUGACCCAUGUGGAAGGAUGUAUUGUGUUUUAUUCAAAAUUGAUUUUC